rnacentral:rRNA from 1 species
AGAGUUUGAUCCUGGCUCAGGACGAACGCUGGCGGCGUGCCUAAUACAUGCAAGUAGAACGCUGAAGAGAGGAGCUUGCUCUUCUUGGAUGAGUUGCGAACGGGUGAGUAACGCGUAGGUAACCUGCCUUGUAGCGGGGGAUAACUAUUGGAAACGAUAGCUAAUACCGCAUAACAAUGGAUGACACAUGUCAUUUAUUUGAAAGGGGCAAUUGCUCCACUACAAGAUGGACCUGCGUUGUAUUAGCUAGUAGGUGAGGUAAUGGCUCACCUAGGCGACGAUACAUAGCCGACCUGAGAGGGUGAUCGGCCACACUGGGACUGAGACACGGCCCAGACUCCUACGGGAGGCAGCAGUAGGGAAUCUUCGGCAAUGGGGGCAACCCUGACCGAGCAACGCCGCGUGAGUGAAGAAGGUUUUCGGAUCGUAAAGCUCUGUUGUAAGUCAAGAACGGGUGUGAGAGUGGAAAGUUCACACUGUGACGGUAGCUUACCAGAAAGGGACGGCUAACUACGUGCCAGCAGCCGCGGUAAUACGUAGGUCCCGAGCGUUGUCCGGAUUUAUUGGGCGUAAAGCGAGCGCAGGCGGUUUGAUAAGUCUGAAGUUAAAGGCUGUGGCUCAACCAUAGUUCGCUUUGGAAACUGUCAAACUUGAGUGCAGAAGGGGAGAGUGGAAUUCCAUGUGUAGCGGUGAAAUGCGUAGAUAUAUGGAGGAACACCGGUGGCGAAAGCGGCUCUCUGGUCUGUAACUGACGCUGAGGCUCGAAAGCGUGGGGAGCGAACAGGAUUAGAUACCCUGGUAGUCCACGCCGUAAACGAUGAGUGCUAGGUGUUGGAUCCUUUCCGGGAUUCAGUGCCGCAGCUAACGCAUUAAGCGCUCCGCCUGGGGAGUACGACCGCAAGGUUGAAACUCAAAGGAAUUGACGGGGGCCCGCACAAGCGGUGGAGCAUGUGGUUUAAUUCGAAGCAACGCGAAGAACCUUACCAGGUCUUGACAUCCCGAUGCUAUUUCUAGAGAUAGAAAGUUACUUCGGUACAUCGGUGACAGGUGGUGCAUGGUUGUCGUCAGCUCGUGUCGUGAGAUGUUGGGUUAAGUCCCGCAACGAGCGCAACCCUUAUUGUUAGUUGCCAUCAUUCAGUUGGGCACUCUAGCGAGACUGCCGGUAAUAAACCGGAGGAAGGUGGGGAUGACGUCAAAUCAUCAUGCCCCUUAUGACCUGGGCUACACACGUGCUACAAUGGUUGGUACAACGAGUUGCGAGUCGGUGACGGCGAGCUAAUCUCUUAAAGCCAAUCUCAGUUCGGAUUGUAGGCUGCAACUCGCCUACAUGAAGUCGGAAUCGCUAGUAAUCGCGGAUCAGCACGCCGCGGUGAAUACGUUCCCGGGCCUUGUACACACCGCCCGUCACACCACGAGAGUUUGUAACACCCGAAGUCGGUGAGGUAACCUUUUGGAGCCAGCCGCCUAAGGUGGGACAGAUGAUUGGGGUGAAGUCGUAACAAGGUA